GAUGCCUUCAAAUGAUGUGGCUCACUGCAGGGUGGAAGCUUGAUGUCAUAGGAGGGGAAAAUAGGUCUGAAUCCUCUAUUAUAAAACAUGUGGAUCUCUAAUCAAGCCGUAUGGUUUCCUCGAGGACCAACAUCUUCGACCGUUUACAGUAAUCUACAGGCUGUGGAGAGUCAUUAUGCAGGGUCUCUGCUGGACUUGAAAUAAGUUUUCUCAACAAAAAAAGGGGUCUCAGAAGGUAUUUAAAAAUCUUAAAUUUAAUUUGCAAAAGUCUUUUCUUGCCUUGAACUUAAAUUAAUUAAUCAUAUUUCAUUUGGUUAAUCCAUCUAUACAUUUAUGACACUUAUUACUACUACUACUAUACUGCUGGGAAGUACUGAAAAAAAAAUGUUAUAAUGAUAUAAUAAUAAAUCAUUCCAGGCCUUGUUGUCCCUGCUGCUUUUCCAUCAUACUUUCAUACUUUGGUCGGUAUGAUUGUGAAAAAGGUAUUAAAUUGCAUUCUAUGUGGUAUUUAAAAGGUCUUUAAAAGUCUUAAAUGUAACAUAGCUUGUGCUUGGAAAUAACAAAAUAAAAAUCCUUUCUCUAUACGCUUCUUCUACAGACCUAAUUAAAAAAAACAAGCAAGCAAGAUUGGAACAAAAUCACUUUUAUUAUUGUGAUAUGAAACCACAUAGGUCAGAUGUUCAUGUCCCGUCGAUAGUGUUUUACACAUUCAUUACAGGCUAUUUUGAUGCUUUCUCUUCCAUAGCUUUGAGGGCCUCUUGGAGCAUGUCAAAGCUACCCCAGGCAUAUGAGGCAACCAGUAGGGCAAACUCUUUGAAGUCCACAAA